UAACUUAUCUCCUUAAAGAUGGUUGGCUCACGAUUUUCUCCUCAUUGCUUAUUAUUUUUCUCAACAAUUACUCAUUCAUUUUAUUGGCUGAAUGUGCAGCAUACAGAAAGAUCCUAAAGACAGAUCUUCAGCUCUGGAUCUACUGAAUCACCCCUUCAUCAAGAAGUUUGAAGACAAAGACAUUGAUCUAGGCAUUCUUGUUGGUAGCUUGGAGCCUCCUGUCCGAUAAUGACCGUCCCCGCGUAAAAUGUUUCUAGCCUAUAUUGCAUCACCUACUAGCAUGAUAUUAUAUUGGUGGCAUUUUUGUGGCAUGUUACAAGAAUCACUUGGCUACUGAUACAUGGCCUUUUUCAAUGUUAUAAGCACAAAAUAUAUCCCGAUUCAGUAACUAUUGUGACUUAUGAGCUAUAGCUUCUAAGACCUCAGCGUCUUGAUGCAUAGAUCAUUAUAUUGCAUAAAAUCAGCUUGUUUGAGCUCAGAUUCAGCUGAAUCUCUAUGUCAAUUUGUUCCUGAAUCAACUGGCAUGAACUUGUGUAGUCGAGACAAAUACAGUGCAUCCUAAAGUCUUCAUAGUUAUACUGUAUCAUCAUAAAAUUCUCCAUGAAGAAUCAAAUUUAA